rnacentral:rRNA from 1 species
CCUACGGGUGGCAGCAGUGGGGGAUAUUGCACAAUGGGGGAAACCCUGAUGCAGCGACGCCGCGUGUGGGAAGACGGUCCUCUGGAUUGUAAACCACUGUCCCCAGGGACGAAGAUGACGGUACCUGGGGAGGAAGCUCCGGCUAACUACGUGCCAGCAGCCGCGGUCAUACGUAGGGAGCACGCGUUGUCCGGAAUUACUGGGUGUAAGGGGAGCGUAGGCGGGAUGGCAAGUUGGGUGUUAAAUCUCCAGGCUCAACUGGUAGUCGCACUCAAAACUGCUAUUCUUGAGGGAAGUAGAGGCAGGCGGAAUUCCUAGUGUAGCGGUGAAAUGCGUAGAUAUUAGGAGGAACACCAGUGGCGAAGGAGGCCUGCUGGGCUUUUACUGACGCUGAGGCUCGAAAGUGUGGGGAGCAAACAGGAUUAGACACCCUUGUAGGC